rnacentral:rRNA from 1 species
GAUGAACGCUGGCGGCGUGCCUAAUACAUGCAAGUCGAGCGAACAGACGAGGAGCUUGCUCCUCUGACGUUAGCGGCGGACGGGUGAGUAACACGUGGAUAACCUACCUAUAAGACUGGGAUAACUUCGGGAAACCGGAGCUAAUACCGGAUAAUAUAUUGAACCGCAUGGUUCAAUAGUUAAAGACGGUUUUGCUGUCACUUAUAGAUGAUUCCGCGCCGCAUUAGCUAGUUGGUAAGGUAACGGCUUACCAAGGCAACGAUGCGUAGCCGACCUGAGAGGGUGAUCGGCCACACUGGAACUGAGACACGGUCCAGACUCCUACGGGAGGCAGCAGUAGGGAAUCUUCCGCAAAGGGCGAAAGCCUGACGGAGCAACGCCGCGUGAGUGAUGAAGGUCUUCGGAUCGUAAAACUCUGUUAUUAGGGAAGAACAAAUGUGUAAGUAACUAUGCACGUCUUGACGGUACCUAAUCAGAAAGCCACGGCUAACUACGUG